UCACUGUUGGUCUAUCAUGACUUGGUGGC
rnacentral:piRNA from 1 species